AAGGAUAGAUAAUAGACAGUAACAGCAGUAUACUGUAGGUAGGGGUAAAGGAUAGAUAAUAGACAGUAACAGCAGUAUACUGUAGGUAGGGGUAAAGGAUAGAUAAUAGACAGUAACAGCAGUAUACUGUAGGUAGGGGUAAAGGAUAGAUAAUAGACAGUAACAGCAGUAUACUGUAGGUAGGGGUAAAGGAUAGAUAAUAGACAGUAACAGCAGUAUACUGUAGGUAGGGGUAAAGGAUAGAUAAUAGACAGUAACAGCAGUAUACUGUAGGUAGGGGUAAAGGAUAGAUAAUAGACAGUAACAGCAGUAUACUGUAGGUAGGGGUAAAGGAUAGAUAAUAGACAGUAACAGCAGUAUACUGUAGGUAGGGGUAAAGGAUAGAUAAUAGACAGUAACAGCAGUAUACUGUAGGUUGGGGUAAAGGAUAGAUAAUAGACAGUAACAGCAGUAUACUGUAGGUAGGGGUAAAGGAUAGAUAAUAGACAGUAACAGCAGUAUACUGUAGGUAGGGGUAAAGGAUAGAUAAUAGACAGUAACAGCAGUAUACUGUAGGUAGGGGUAAAGGAUAGAUAAUAGACAGUAACAGCAGUAUACUGUAGGUAGGGGUAAAGGAUAGAUAAUAGA